rnacentral:rRNA from 1 species
UCAGACCUACGGGACGCAGCAGUGGGGAAUAUUGCACAAUGGGGGAAACCCUGAUGCAGCGACGCCGCGUGAGUGAAGAAGGGUUUCGGCUCGUAAAGCUCUGUUGGUAGUGAAGAAAGAUAGAGGUAGUAACUGGCCUUUAUUUGACGGUAAUUACUUAGAAAGUCACGGCUAACUACGUGCCAGCAGCCGCGGCAAUACGUAGGUGGCAAGCGUUAUCCGGAAUUACUGGGUGUAAAGGGAGCGUAGACGGUUAAGUAAGUCUGGAGUGAAAGGCCGGGGCCCAACCCCGGGACGGCUCUGGG